AGCUCCAAUAGCGUAUAUUAAAGUUGUUGCGGUUAAAAAGCUCGUAGUUGGAUUUCUGCUGAGGGUGGCUGGUCCGCCCACUGGGCGAGUAUCUGGCACAGCCUGAGCAUCUUUCUGGAGAGCGUAACUGCACUUGACUGUGUGGUGCGGUAUCGAGAACUUUUACUUUGAGGAAAUCAAAGUGUUUGAAGCAGGUGUUUGCCUUGAAUACAUUAGCAUGGAAUAAUGACAUAGGAUCUUGGCUCUAUUUUGUUGGUUUCUAGAACUGCGGUAAUGAUUAAUAGGGAUAGUUGGGGGCAUUUGUAUUUAAUUGUCAGAGGUGAAAUUCUUGGAUUUGUUAAAGACGGACCAUUGCGAAAGCAUUUGCCAAGGAUGUUUUCA
rnacentral:rRNA from 1 species